rnacentral:rRNA from 1 species
CCUACGGGUGGCAGCAGUGAGGAAUAUUGGUCAAUGGACGUAAGUCUGAACCAGCCAAGUAGCGUGAGGGAUGACUGCCCUAUGGGUUGUAAACUUCUUUUAUAUGGGACUAAAUCGGUCCCCGUGUGUGCUUUUGUAUAUACCCUAUGAAUCAGGCUCGGUUCACCCCGUGCCAUCCACCGCGGUAAAACGGAGGAUCCGAGCGUUCUACGGAUUUAUUGGGUGUAAAGGGAGCGCAUGUGGAUUGUUAAGUGAGUUGUGAAAGUUUGCGGCUCAACCGUAAAAGUGCAGUUGAAACUGGCAGUCUUGAGUACAGUAGAGGUGGGCGGAAGUCGUGGUGUAGCGGUGAAAUGCUUAGAUAUCACGAAGAACUCAGAGUGCGAAGGCAGCUGACUGGACUGCAACUGACACUGAGGCUCGAAAGUGUGGGUAUCAAACAGGAUUAGAUACCCGAGUAGUC